AAGGAAUGAUUCAUUGUUAUUUGUAUUAAAGUUUAUAAAAGUAAAACUUAUUAUCUAAUUUGAAAGUUUCCAUAAAAAUAUUAUUGAAUGAUUUAACAACUUGGAAUUUGGACAUUUCCUCACAAAAAGGUGUAAAUUGAGUAAGAACACAGUCUAACUUUAUCAGUGAUAUUGGUGAACCACUAAGAACAUCUGUAUUUUAAGUGACGAUAACGAGGGCGUUUUACAGCACUGUGUAUAAGAUUAAAAGGUUUAAUUAUAAUCAGACAUGAUUGCUUAUUAGAACAGCAUACAUUCGCUUUAUGAUAUCUUGUUUAGGCACCAUUGACGAGGACUGAUAAUUCUUAAAUAUUUAAUACUAAACUAUUUUAACCGAAAGGCAUGGAUCACAACGGAGUUUAUGAAUUUUAAAAAUGGAGUUGCAUACCAGUUUUUAAAAAUGAUUACGCGAAGCAGCUCUUCUGUAUUAACAGAAGACAAUUUCAUGACAAGAAAACACCAGUUUAUAUAGAAAACACAGGGCGCAAUGUAAUCAAUUAUCAUCAUGUACCUAUCGUAAAUACGAAAAGAGUUUUGUAUAUUAGCGUACCAACAACAUGAAUUAUGAAUUAUUACUGUUUUCAAAAUUUUAGAUACAAUUAAAUGAAAUAAAGGCAUCUACAAAACAAAAAUAAUGCAAUGUUCUCCCAGUGCUUCGUGAUUCUACAAUUCUUAAAUCCAGCGUUGUUUUUUUCACAUUGCC
rnacentral:lncRNA from 1 species